rnacentral:rRNA from 2 species
GGAUGCGAUCAUACCAGCACUAAAGCAUCGGAUCCCAUCAAAACUCCGAAGUUAAGCGUGCGUGGGGGAGAGUAGUACUAGGAUGGGUGACCUCCUGGGAAGUCCUCGUGUUGCAUUCC